ACGGGUGGUGCAAGUGUUAUUCCGCAUGACUAGGUGUAAAAGGUGCGUAGAUGGUUAAAUUGAUUUGAAAUAACUGGAACUAUUUCUUUAACAUAAUUAACUUGAAUUUAAAAGAUGAUAGUGGUACUUCAUGCAUUAGAGUUUAAAUACGUUUUAAAACUUGAAGGAACACCGAAAGCAAAGGCAACUAUCAAUUUAAAAUUGACAUUGAGGCACGAAGGGAUGGGGAUCAAAUGG
rnacentral:rRNA from 1 species